AAAGCGUCCGUAGCCGGCUUAGCAAGUCUCCUGUUAAAUUCAGCGACCUAAUCGUUGAGCCGCGGGAGAUACUACUAGGCUAGGAGGCGGGAGAGGCCGACGGUAUUCCCGGGGUAGGGGUGAAAUCCUAUAAUCCCGGGAGGACCACCAGUGGCGAAGGCUGUCGGCUAGAACGCGCUCGACGGUGAGGGACGAAAGCUGGGGGAGCGAACCGGAUUAGAUACCCGGGUAGUCCCAGCUGUAAACGAUGCGGGCUAGGUGUUGAGGUGGCUACGAGCCACUUCAGUGCCGCAGGGAAGCCAUUAAGCCCGCCGCCUGGGGAGUACGGCCGCAAGGCUGAAACUUAAAGGAAUUGGCG
rnacentral:rRNA from 1 species